rnacentral:rRNA from 1 species
GUACACAAAAAUGCACAUGCUGUGAGCUCGAUGAGUAGGGCGGGACACGUGGUAUCCUGUCUGAAUAUGGGGGGACCAUCCUCCAAGGCUAAAUACUCCUGACUGACCGAUAGUGAACCAGUACCGUGAGGGAAAGGCGAAAAGAACCCCGGCGAGGGGAGUGAAAAAGAACCUGAAACCGUGUACGUACAAGCAGUGGGAGCACAGAGCAAUCUGUGUGACUGCGUACCUUUUGUAUAAUGGGUCAGCGACUUAUAUUCUGUAGCAAGGUUAACCGAAUAGGGGAGCCGAAGGGAAACCGAGUCUUAACUGGGCGUUAAGUUGCAGGGUAUAGACCCGAAACCCGGUGAUCUAGCCAUGGGCAGGUUGAAGGUUGGGUAACACUAACUGGAGGACCGAACCGACUAAUGUUGAAAAAUUAGCGGAUGACUUGUGGCUGGGGGUGAAAGGCCAAUCAAACCGGGAGAUAGCUGGUUCUCCCCGAAAGCUAUUUAGGUAGCGCCUCGUGAAUUCAUCUCCGGGGGUAGAGCACUGUUUCGGCAAGGGGGUCAUCCCGACUUACCAACCCGAUGCAAACUGCGAAUACCGGAGAAUGUUAUCACGGGAGACACACGGCGGGUGCUAACGUCCGUCGUGAAGAGGGAAACAACCCAGACCGCCAGCUAAGGUCCCAAAGUCAUGGUUAAGUGGGAAACGAUGUGGGAAGGCCCAGACAGCCAGGAUGUUGGCUUAGAAGCAGCCAUCAUUUAAAGAAAGCGUAAUAGCUCACUGGUCGAGUCGGCCUGCGCGGAAGAUGUAACGGGGCUAAACCAUGCAC